GCGGGUGUAGCUCAGCUGGUCAGAGCGCGAGUCAUAUGAGCUCGAGGUCAGCGGUUCAAGCCCGCCUACCCGCA